rnacentral:lncRNA from 1 species
AUGCCACAUGUGAGGGGAUGUCCAGGCAGCUCCUACCCUGCUAGGACUCUCCUCCCCCUGCCAUCACUUUUUUCCUUUCCCAGGAGCCCCCCAGGCCAGCACUGGGGCCUGGCAGAGCCACAGCCCAUGUGCCCCCCGGACACCCCCUCACCUCCUUUGUGGCCCUGGAGGACCCUCCUCCUGCUCAGGAGCCCCCAGCACAGGGCAGGGCUCCCCAAAGGUGAGCCAGGAACAGGCAAUGACCCCACUGGACUGCCCUGCCACCCCCUCCAGCAGCAAACUGGGGCACCAGUAACUGUUAGGGUGAUGAAGGCAAAAGCUGUGUUCCAGCUGCAGAGAUGGGUUCAGGGACCAGUUGUGCAGCUGGUACCAGGAUCCCACAGUGCUGGGGUGGGUGGAAGUAUAUGGGAUCACUGCUGGAACCAAAGAGGCUCUGGGCAUUUCAGCAGGAAAAGAACAGGCCAACCCCCAAGCCAGCAGCAAACUGACAGCUCAGCCUCCACCCCAGGACAGAGCCCACAGCCAAAGGAGUGGUUCAACCACUCACGCCCACAGUGGUGGUUUGGGGACAGGCAGAGGGCACAGAGGAGUAAAAUAAAUUCCCUGUCCUCAGGCACAUCCCCACAUCCAGCCCUCUGUAGGGAAAGCCUAACCCAGGGCAUGCACAGCUCAGCCCUAGGAACCAGCACAGAAGCCACAGCCAGCUUUACAAAGUGUCAGAGGCCCUGUGCUACAUGUUUAAUAAAAGGCUUCAGCUCUUUGCUUUUCACUUCUUGGCCUUUUUUAUACACACAACCCAGGGCAGGGUCCCAGCCCCACCUGGGCACUCCAGCUGGCUCAGGGGACAGCCCUGCUGCCCCUGUCCCCAACCAUCAGCACCUGCUCUUGCACUCCCUCCUGGGUGCAAAGUGGAGGCUGAGCAAAGAUAAAAAUACACAGCAACAAAGGCCAGGAUGUUACAAAGCUCUUUCUUUAUCAGCCUCCCCCACCAUCUUUAGGCUGCUCAAAGCUGAGGAGGCACUAUCAGAACCCACUUAG